UUGCUCGGCUCCGAUCUGGAUCUCGGUGCUCUCGUCGGCAAAGAAUGGCACACCGAGCGUCAAAGUCUGCGUGAUGCUCUGGGAGAAGGUGAACGAGUUGUGGAAGGACCUGGUGUUGCUCACUGUGGUGGUCUUGCUCACGCUGAUCUCCAUCUCUGCAGGCUCACUGCCCUUGUUCGUGGCAGAUCCAUAGGCGACACCGAUUGGCUCCUCCUCGCUUGCACUCGCCAGAUCUAGCAGGUAAGUCACGUUAAAGAUUUGCCUGCUCAUCACAGCUUCUUCGACCACGAGGUGGCUUGACGUUUCCUCGUAGUCGGAUGCCUCAGCAAAGAUCGCGUUCGGAGCGUUGGUGAAGGACGGGCUUCCACGCUUGCAGUAGAGGCCAUUGGCACUCUUGAGAGC
rnacentral:lncRNA from 1 species